rnacentral:rRNA from 1 species
GACGAACGCUGGCGGCGUGCUUAACACAUGCAAGUCGAACGGAGUGGCGAACGGGUGAGUAACACGUGGGUGACCUGACCUGCACGUCGGGAUAAGCAUGGGAAACUGGGUCUAAUACCGGAUAGUGUGGGAUGGGCCCGCGGCCCAUCAGCUUGUUGGUGGGGUAAGGGCCUACCAAGGCGGCGACGGGUAGCCGGCCGGAGAGGGUGGACGGCCACAUUGGGACUGCGACACGUCCCAGACUCCUACGGGAGGCAGCAGUGGGGAAUAUUGCACAAUGGGCGGAAGCCUGAUGCAGCGACGCCGCGUGGGGGAUGACGGCCUGCGGGUUGUAAACUCCUUUUACAAUCGACGCGUGAGAUGGAUAAGAAGCAACGGCUAACUACGUGCCAGCAGCCGCGGUAAUUC